UACGGGGGGGGCAAGCGUUGUUCGGAAUUACUGGGCGUAAAGGGCUCGUAGGUGGCCAACUAAGUCAGACGUGAAAUCCCUCGGCUUAACCGGGGAACUGCGUCUGAUACUGGAUGGCUUGAGUUUGGGAGAGGGACGCGGAAUUCCAGGUGUAGCGGUGAAAUGCGUAGAUAUCCGGAGGAACACCGGUGGCGAAGGCGGCUUCCUGGACCGACACUGACGCUGAGGCGCGAAAGCUAGGGGAGCAAACGGG
rnacentral:rRNA from 1 species